UAGCUGACAGGAGAGUUUGACUUCACUUUACUACAGAGCAGCCUCACAUCAGCUCAUCUGUCUCAUCUCUCAUUACUGAUCCAGUUUGUCUCUUCAUAUCUGUGGACUGAAACCGCUCAAGAUGUUUGACAGAGUUUGCUUCUGGUUGUGUUUGUGGCAUAUGCUUGGUGUGUUUCUGAUUCAGAUGAAGUGAAGUCAGUGUCUGUGAUGGAGGGAGAUUCAGUCUCUCUACAGACUAACACUGAACUACAGACAAAUGAUGAGGUAUUCUGGACAUGUGGACACUCAGAGACUCGUAUAGCUGAAAUUGAUAAAGACACUGGAAGAUUCUCCACAUGUGAUGUUCUUGAUGGGAGAUUCAGAGACAGACUGAAGCUGGAUCAUCAGACUGGAUCUCUGAUCAUCACAAACACCAGAAACACAGACUCUGAAGUGUAUGAAGUAACCAUCAGAAGUAGGAAAGAGACCAUGUACAGAUUCAGUGUCUCUGUUACUGUCUCUGAGUAGUCAAAUGUAUCAGAAGGAGGUGAAUGGAGCAGAUUGAGAGGGAGAAUGUGAAGAAACAGCAGGUGGCGCUAGUGCACUGUUUUAGUUUGGGAUCUGCUGUUAGAAGGAAGAAGAAGGAGAAAGCAGGUGUGUUUGUGCUUCACAUUCCUGUCCAGUUGGUGGCGCUGAUGCACGAGAUCUGUUGUUAACUGGACUUUGAUUUUCUCCAAGAUGAAGUCGUGUCAGGUGACAAACAUCAAUCGUGAAGAUCGCACAGGUGUUUAACAGCGAUCACAAACCGAAAGUGUUGGAAAGACUUCUGGAUUCUGUUCCUGCAGCACAAGAUCGUCUGAACUACUGCAAGUCAUGAUGAGCAUCUGAUCGUCUUCAGAGACACAAAGAUCUCAGUGUUGAGCUGUUCAUCUGCAGUAUGUCAGAGAAGAGAGGAAAGAUGAGUCUCUCACACAAACAGAGUGUAAGAUCAGGAUCACAUGUGUCUGUGAAGAGUGACCGGUCAAAGGAUGAUAACAUACCAGACUUCAGUGAGAAACAAACAUCUAUCAAAAGUGUAAGAUCAGACUCACAUGUGUCCAGCUCUGUGUCUGUCAAGAGUGACCGGUCAAAGGAUGAUCCACUAAACUUCAGUGAAGAAACAACAUCACGAACCAAACGGUAUUUGAUGCGUUUCUUAUU